rnacentral:misc_RNA from 1 species
GUGCUGAAGAAUGUGCUCUGUGUGCAUUUGGCCAUAAUUUAUCUCCAAUCCACUUUUUAUAAAUCAAAUGCUAUGAUUGAGAGGAAAAAGGAAAGAAAGAAGAAAGUUACAACAUUAUUAGCCAAGGGACAAUCCAAUAAAGUCACAUUAAAAACCCACAAUAAUUAAUGAAUGGAAAAAUUAUUGUAAAAAAUAACGAAUAUAAUAAAUAUGUUUUCCAUCUUGGUAUUUAAUCUGUAAAAUAAUUCUGUGAUAUCCCUAUUAUUUCAGUGGAAUUCUGGCUAUAUGCACUGGAUGAGAAAUUAUUAAUUUGUUUAACCAUCAGAUUUCAAAAAAAUUAAUGUUCAAGCACUCAAAUAGAAAUUGGGUAGAACUUUAACCAAUAUUUCUAUUGAUAUCCUUUUUAAACAUUUUAUUUUCCACUUCAUAUAAAUAACUAAAUGUUCACUAAAAAAAUGGAACUAAAUAAAUUUAGACUAGUCAAUUGAAUGAAGAAAAUAUUGAUGUGAUAUACAUCUUGCAUUGCCCUAAGAAAAACAACAUUUGUUUGCCAUUAAUUGAGAAGAGUUUCCUCAAGAUCUGGAGCAUUCUAUCUUGGUUGGGGUUUCUGACAUCAAUAUCCCCUUCACUUUUUUUUUUUUUUGAG